rnacentral:lncRNA from 1 species
ACUCUGCAGGUAGUUCUGGCAUCUGUGGACAGAUCCCAGACAAGGAAAUGGGUCAAAUCAAGUUCAGGAUCCAUCCAGGUAGUCCAGUCAGAAGCAGCAGGAGGCGAGGCCAGGGAGAGGACUAAAGACAAAGCUGGAGUAUCUCUGGCAGGUCCAUCCAGGAGACAGGGCAGGAGACAAAGCUGCAGCACAGUUCUGAGGCUCAUCCAGAAAACAGAAGCAGAGACAGACCGCUUUGUCCGUCCCUUUCCAUCAAAGGCAGAGACCUCCACUGGAGUUAUUGGAGUUCUCCCUGCCACACGCAUCUUUGCUUCUCAGUGUGUAUGGCCUUUAAUCACAACCUAACAGAUAAGUUACUUAUCCACAUGAUUAUCCCAUAGUGGUAGCUCUUCAAAAACCUUAGGUGAGUGGCCUUUUCAAGAGUGUUUUAGAAACCCAGCUGGAUUUUGUCAUUUGGAUAUUUUCAUGUCCUGAAACAAAAUUCAGUAGCUG